rnacentral:rRNA from 1 species
UACGGGGGGGGGCAAGCGUUGUUCGGAAUUACUGGGCGUAAAGGGCUCGUAGGCGGCCAACUAAGUCGGAUGUGGAAUCCCCAGGCUCAACCUGGGAACUGCAUCCGAUACUGGAUGGCUUGAAUCCGGGAGAGGGAUGCAGAAUUCCAGGUGUAGCGGUGAAAUGCGUAGAUAUCUGGAGGAAUACCGGUGGCGAAGGCGGCUACCUGGACAAUUGCUGACGCUCAGGCACGAAAGCGUGGGGAGCAAAAGGG